UAUGUGUCCUGUGAUUAGUCCGUUUGUGUUUGUGUGUGUGCCAUUUCUAUUGGUUACUGAUUAUGUAAUUCGCGACUGGUUCAUUAAAAUCCCGUUGUUGUCUGGGCUGAGUUAGGCUACGUCCACACUACACCGGAUAAAUCCGUAACCGAAGCUUUUUGAGUCCUGACGAAGGGUCUCGGCCCGAAACAUCGACAGUGCUUCCUCCUAUAGAUGCUGCCUGGCCUGCUGUGUCCCACCAGCAUUUUGUGUGUUGUCCGAAGCUUUUUCUCUUCGUUUUUACCCUCCGUCCACACUAAAAUGGCGUUUUCGUCCCCCGAAACCGGAGCUUUUCAGGAACGCUUUCCAGGGAAACAACCUUCAACAACCACCCUCUGCUUCCUAUUUCUCAGCUAAUUUUGAAUCCACCUGAAGAUCUCUCCAUGGAUUCUAUGGAAACUAACCUUCAUAACCUGUUUGCUAUCCAUAACCUUAUCGAAGGCAAAGUUUAAAGUCAAAUAGACAUCCAUCAUUCAUCCUUUUGGUUACCCCUCAGAGUGUAAGUGUGAGAGAGUGAGACCCCCUCCAGUUCGCCUACCAGCCCCGACUAGGAGUUAAGGAUGCCAUCGUCUACCUGCUGAACCAUGUCUACACCCACCUGGACAAGCCGGCGAGCACUGUGAGGGUCAUGUUUUUUGACUUCUCCAGUGCGUUCAACACCACCUGCCCUGCUCUGCUGGGUGAGAAGCUGACAGUGAUGCAGGCGGAUGCUUCCCUGGUGUCAUGAAUUAUUGAUUACCUGACUGGCAGACCUCAGUACAUGCACUUGCAACACUGUGUGUCAGACAGAGUUGUCAGCAGCACUGGGGCUCCACAGUGGACUGUCCUGUCUCCCUUUCUCUUCACCAUCUACACCUUAGACUUCAACUACAACACAGAGUCUUGCCAUCUUCAGAAGUUUUCUGAUGACUCUGCCAUAGUUGGAUGCAUCAGCAAGGGAGAUGAGGCUGAGUACAGGGCGACAGUGGGAAACUUUGUCACAUGGUGCGAGCAGAAUCAUCUGCAGCUUAAUGUGAAAAAGACUGAAGCUGGUGGUGGACCUGAGGAGGGCUAAGGCACCGGUGACCCCUGUUUCCAUCCAAAGGGUCAGUGUAGACAUGGUGGAGGAUUACAAACACCUGGGAUACGAAUUGACAAUAAACUGGACUGGUCAAAGAACACUGAGGCUGUCUACAAGAAGAGUCAGAACCGUCUCUACUUCCUGAGGAGACUGAGGUCCUUUAACAUCUGCCGGAUGAUGCUGAGGAUGUUCUAUGAGUCUGUGGUGGCCAGUGCUAUCAUGUUUGCUGUUGUGUGCUGGGGCAGCAGGCUGAGGGUAGCAGACACCAACAGAAUCAACAAACUCAUUUGUAAGUCCAGUGAUGUUGUGGGGGUGGAACUGGACUCUCUGACGGUGGUGCCUGAAAAGAAGAUGCUGUCCAAGUUGCAUGCCAUCUUGGACAAUGACUCCCAUCCACUCCAUAAUGCACAGGAGUACAUUCAGCCAGAGACUCAUUCCACCGAGAUGCAACACUGAGCGUCAUAGGAAGCCAUUCCUGCCUGUGGCCAUCAAACUUUACAACUCCUCCCUCGGAGUGUCAGACACCCUGAGCCAAUAGGCUGGUCCUGGACUUAUUUGUACCUGGUAUAACUUACUUAUUAUUAUGUAAUUAUUUAUGGUUUUAUAUUGCUAUAUUUCUACACUAUUCUUGGUUGGUGCGACUGUAGCGAAACCCAAUUUCCCUCGGGAACAAUAAAGUCAGUCUGUCUGUCAGUCAUGCGCAGAGAUACGACCGCUCUUGUCUGUUUUGCGUAUGUGGUUAUUAUGCCUAUUCUGUAAUUUGUCUCUCAAGACUGUCAUAUACGUCUGGCUCCAGCCUGUCUUG